UGCCUACUCCGAAAAGCCAUCUUUGCAUUGUUCCCGGGUCGUGCUCUGUGCUCGCUGCAGCCACCCUCGCAGCCCACCGCCUCCUCCAGUGCAGACUCCGGCAGCUCUCUCACUAGAGCCCUCGAACUCGACUUGAUUUCCCUCCCUUGUGGCAUCGGACCACCGGCGUGCUCCACCAUGUCAGACGCCGCAGUGGACACCAGCUCCAAGAUCACCACCAAGGACUUGAAGGAGAAGAAGGAAGUUGUGGAGGAGGCAGAGAAUGGAAGAGAUGCACCUGCCAAUGGGAAUGCUCAAAAUGAGGAAAAUGGGGAGCAGGAGGCUGACAAUGAGGUAGAUGAAGAAGAGGAAGAAGGUGGGGAGGAAGAGGAGGAGGAGGAAGAAGGUGAUGGUGAGGAAGAGGAUGGAGAUGAAGAUGAGGAAGCUGAGGCUCCUACGGGCAAGCGGGUAGCUGAAGAUGAUGAGGAUGAUGAUGUCGACACCAAGAAGCAGAAGACUGAGGAGGAUGACUAGACAGCAAGAGGAAAAGUAACCUUACUCACCGUGACCUAUUCAUCCUCCAUUUCCUGUCUCAGAAUUUAAACGUGGUCACCUCCGAAUAGAGAAGCAGGCCCCGCCCACAGCGGGCAAUGCCACCCACAGAUGACAUGUGCUCUCCACCACCCCACCAAAACUACAACAUGAAUUGGCAACAUGGGAGGAAAAAAGAACCAGAACUUCCCAGGCCCUGCUUUUUUUCUUAAAAAUACUUUAAAAGUAAAAUUUGUUUGUAUUUUUUAUUUACAUUUUAUAUUUUUGUACAUAUUGUUAGGGGUCAGCCAUUUUUAAUGGUAACGGGUGACCAAACCAGCCUUCAGAGUGUUUCUGUCCUACUUCAGACUUUACUUGUGGUGUAACCGUGUUCAUUAUAAUCUCAAAGGAGAAAAAAAAAACCUUAUUAAAAAAAAAGCAAAAGCAACAACAAAAAAAUCUUAUUCCGAGCAUUCCAGUAACUUUUGUGUAUGUACCUAGCUGUACUAUAAGUAGUUGGUUUGUAUGAGAUGGUUAAAAAGGCCAAAGAUAAAAAGUUUUUUUUUUCCUUUUCUUUCUAUGAAGUUGCUGUUUGUUUAUUUAUUUAUUUAUUUUGGCCGUUUGAUGUAUGUGUGAAACAAUGUCCAACAAUAAACCGGAAUUUUAUUUUGCUGAGUUGUUCUAAAAA